rnacentral:rRNA from 1 species
UACGAAGGGGGCUAGCGUUGUUCGGAUUUACUGGGCGUAAAGCGCACGUAGGCGGAUCGUUAAGUCGGGGGUGAAAUCCUGGAGCUCAACUCCAGAACUGCCUUCGAUACUGGCGAUCUUGAGUCCGGAAGAGGUGAGUGGAACUGCGAGUGUAGAGGUGAAAUUCGUAGAUAUUCGCAAGAACACCAGUGGCGAAGGCGGCUCACUGGCCCGAUACUGACCGCUGAGGCACGAAAGCGUGGGGAAGGCAAACAGGG